rnacentral:rRNA from 1 species
CCUACGGGAGGCAGCAGUGGGGGAUAUUGCACAAUGGGGGGAACCCUGAUGUAGCGACGCCGCGUGGGUGAAGAAGCGCCUCGGCGCGUAAAGCCCUGUCAGCAGGGAAGAAAAUGACGGUACCUGCAGAAGAAGCCCCGGCUAACUACGUGCCAGCAGCCGCGGUAAUACGUAGGGGGCAAGCGUUAUCCGGAUUUACUGGGUGUACAGGGGGCGCAGACGGCGAUGCAAGCCAGGAGUGAAAGCCCGGGGCCCAACCCCGGGACUGCUCUUGGAACUGCGUGGCUGGAGUGCAGGAGGGGCAGGCGGAAUUCCUGGUGUAGCGGUGAAAUGCGUAGAUAUCAGGAGGAACACCGGUGGCGAAGGCGGCCUGCUGGACUGCAACUGACGUUGAGGCCCGAAAGCGUGGGGAGCAAACAGGAUUAGAUACCCCAGUAGUC